rnacentral:rRNA from 2 species
UAAUACAGAGGGUGCGAGCGUUAAUCGGAUUUACUGGGCGUAAAGCGUGCGUAGGCGGCUUUUUAAGUCGGAUGUGAAAUCCCCGAGCUUAACUUGGGAAUUGCAUUCGAUACUGGGAAGCUAGAGUAUGGGAGAGGAUGGUAGAAUUCCAGGUGUAGCGGUGAAAUGCGUAGAGAUCUGGAGGAAUACCGAUGGCGAAGGCAGCCAUCUGGCCUAAUACUGACGCUGAGGUACGAAAGCAUGGGGAGCAAACAGG